rnacentral:lncRNA from 1 species
UCAUCAGAUUCAAGGUGGAGAAUUGUGAAGUAUGAAUCAGAUGAGAUUCUAAGAAUAGCCUAAGUGUGAAGAAUACUCUCGGGCAUAGAGAGGGUUACAGAAAAGCUCAAGAAGAAGAAGUCACGUGGGAGUCACGUGAGGGCGUUGAGUCGUUAUAACAAACGACGAAACUAAUCCGAUAUAUAUACUUACUCUCUUUAUUCAUCAUUAGUAUUCUAAUCUGUUUCUGGGUUUGUUAGAUCAGAUUAGAGAGAGAUUAAGAAGUUGAUCGGAGAGAAAGUGAGAGAAGAGAGCUUUGUAAUCUGUACGGUGUUCUUCACGGUUUUAGUGGAUUUCCGGAGAGAAAACUCCGGCGAGACGUAACGUUCCCGGUUUGGGACGUGAACUCGUUAAAUCGUUGUGUCUUUCUUCUUUCUCUGUUUCGAUUCUAUUUCUUUUGGUUUGCGUUCGAUUCGUGUUGUGAGAAUUCAAUCGGAGUGAAUAAUCUUCACAAUACGCUUCAUCAAGAGAUGGGAGAGGAUCACGAGAGAGAAGAGAUGAUUUUACGACACCAAAAACACUCUCA